AUUGAACGCUGGCGGCAUGCUUUACACAUGCAAGUCGAACGGCAGCGCGGGCUUCGGCCUGGCGGCGAGUGGCGAACGGGUGAGUAAUACAUCGGAAAGUGCCCAGUAGUGGGGGAUAGCUCGGCGAAAGCCGGAUUAAUACCGCAUACGACCUGAGGGUGAAAGCGGGGGAUCUUCGGACCUCGCGCUAUUGGAGCGGCCGAUGGCAGAUUAGCUAGUUGGUGGGGUAAAGGCCUACCAAGGCGACGAUCUGUAGCUGGUCUGAGAGGACGACCAGCCACACUGGGACUGAGACACGGCCCAGACUCCUACGGGAGGCAGCAGUGGGGAAUUUUGGACAAUGGGCGAAAGCCUGAUCCAGCAAUGCCGCGUGUGUGAUGAAGGCCUUCGGGUUGUAAAGCACUUUUGGCGGGAACGAAAAGGAAUGUGCCAAUACCACGGUUCGAUGACGGUACCCGCAGAAUAAGCACCGGCUAACUACGUG
rnacentral:rRNA from 1 species